CAGAGCUUCUAUUUACUCAACUGCUGAUUCAAUUGCGACAAGAGCAGAUUCGAGAGCAUCAAUGAAUGUGCUUGCGUCCUCUUCUUUAUUAUACCUCCCAAUGGGAACUGUGCACAACCGAUUCCUCCACCUCAUCUGCACCUCAAAAGAGGGCAUUCUAGAGCAGCUAAAAAUAGGAAAAGCACUAGAAUGUUUCAAAAGUCUAUGGCCCCGAACAUGCCGUUUACCUAAAUGAGGUUUAAAAGGUGGGGCUCCCGAUUUCC
rnacentral:lncRNA from 1 species